rnacentral:lncRNA from 1 species
GUCACCACUUCUUCAACUAUUCUUCUAGCAUUUCGGCAAAUAAUUCUUUACACAACUUUCUUAUCUCACGUCACGAUACAUUCAGCAAAACCUGAACUCGCUAAUAGGUGUAGGUGUUACAACAGGAGAGCUAAUUUGUAUCUUGGACUUAACUGACAAAUCAAGAAUCCAAUGACAACUAUCCUAUAGGAAUCAGGGGGGAAAGAGAUGUGAAGAGGGAUUGUACAAGAAUCAAAGAAUUUUGCAUCUCUUUUAUAAUUUAAAUGGAUUGGUGAGAGAGUUAUUUUCUCUAUAGUUUCUUCCAAAUUGGUUUCGAUAUUACAACUAAAACUAAGCAUUCCAGAAAAUGAUGGGAAUCAAAGUGUCUUCUUAAUCAUCCUGGUCUAACAAACAGUAAUGUAAUUCACCUUAGAAUCUCAAUAGUACUUACGUGGCACAGUGUUUGGAGACAGCUGAAAUGUGCUCUCCCCGUAUGCGGACAAUAUAAAACAAGUCUGCAAGCAAAAAAGUUUUAAGUUGUAGACCUGCAGAUGAAAUACAGCGUGUUUAAGUGCAUUUACAGUUUUGCCUACAUGUUUAGUAUAGAAUCAACAGCUGGGGAGGAAAGUGUUUACCAUAUUCUGUACCUUUAUGCAGUGACAAUCCUCUAAAGCUGGCACAGCAAUUACUUUGUGGCCGACCUCCAGCCCCCCCGGCACAAUACAAAUGCACAUCAAAUUCAGAGAGAGAACUUAAAACUGCAUAGAUAACCAUGAGCUUCAUAAACAAGACAUCUAAUCGUUUCUGUCCUCAAUCUUC